GACGAACGCUGGCGGCGUGCUUAACACAUGCAAGUCGAACGGAAAGGCCCUGCUUUUGUGGGGUGCUCGAGUGGCGGACGGGUGAGUAACACGUGAAUAACCUGCCCUUGACUUUGGGAUAACUUCAGGAAACUGGGGCUAAUACCGGAUAGGAGCUCCAGCUGCAUGGUGGGGGUUGGAAAGUUUCGGCGGAUGGGGAUGGACUCGCGGCUUAUCAGCUUGUUGGUGGGGUAGUGGCUAACCAAGGCUUCGACGGGUAGCCGGCCUGAGGGGGUGACCAGCCACAUUGGUACUGAGAUACGGCCCAGACUCCUACGGGAGGCAGCAGGGGGGAAUAUUGUACAAUGGGCGGAAGCCUGAUGCAGCAACGCCGCGUGCGGGAUGACGGCCUUCGGGUUGUAAACCGCUUUCGCCUGUGACGAAGCGUGAGUGACGGUAAUGGGUAAAGAAGCACCGGCUAACUACGUG
rnacentral:rRNA from 1 species